UACGAAGGGUGCAAGCGUUAAUCGGAAUUACUGGGCGUAAAGCGUGCGUAGGCGGUGACUUAAGUCUGUUGUGAAAUCCCCGGGCUCAACCUGGGAAUGGCAAUGGAUACUGGGUCGCUAGAGUGUGAUAGAGGAUGGUGGAAUUCCCGGUGUAGCGGUGAAAUGCGUAGAGAUCGGGAGGAACAUCAGUGGCGAAGGCGGCCAUCUGGAUCAACGCUGACGCUGAGGCACGAAAGCGUGGGGAGCAAACAGG
rnacentral:rRNA from 1 species